rnacentral:lncRNA from 1 species
ACACACACAGAGAGAGAAAGAGGCAGAGACACAGGAGGAGGGAGAAGCAGGCUCCAUGCCGGGAGCCCGACGUGGGACUCGAUCCCGGGACUCCAGGAUCACGCCCCGGGCCAAAGGAACGUUCCAGAAAGUAUCCCUUGUUGGUGGUGUAACCAAGAUAGAGCUGGGAAGAGAAAGAGCAUGCACUUCGGAUGGGACAGAGUGAGAUUCAAAUGGCACACAGUGAGAGAGAGAGGCAGAGACACAGGCAGAGGGAGAAGCAGGCUCCAUGCACCGGGAGCCCGACGUGGGACUCGAUCCCGGGUCUCCAGGAUCGCGCCCUGGGCCAAAGGCAGGCGCCAAACCGCUGCGCCACCCAGGGAUCCCAGUAUCUUUCUUUUUCAAGCUCCCUGCCGGCUUCUCCUAACAUCUUGCACGACCCGACUUGGUCUGGUUUGCUUGGUACUUUUUGUGGGUUGUCCUGAUGUUUGCAGGUCCUGGGAACCCCCUCAGUCCUGGGCACAUCUGUCCAGUUCAGCUCCCUGCUUGCAUCCCAUUGGCCAGUGCUGGCUCACAUGUCUAUCUCUUGACCAAUCCCCAGCAAGGGGUAUGGAAAUACCCCAACUGACCUAAAUCAAUGAGGAUCCACCUCCUGGCGGGGGCAGGGUGCUCUGUCCUUGGAACUGAUCUGGGGUUCUGUGGGCAAGAAAGCAGGAUUGGCUGGUAGGUGGGCACCCUGCCGUGUUUGCCACACUUGCUUCAAUCAGAAAGGAGCAGAGCUGUCUCCUAGCCAAGGCUCUGCUCC